rnacentral:rRNA from 1 species
GACGAACGCUGGCGGCGUGCUUAACACAUGCAAGUCGAACGGAGUGGCGAAAGGGUGAGUAACACGUGGGUGAUCUGCCUUGCACUUCGGGAUAAGCUUGGGAAACUGGGUCUAAUACCGGAUAGUGCAAGAUGACGUCUCGGCCUAUCAGCUUGUUGGUGGGGUAAUGGCCUACCAAGGCGUGGACGGGUAGACGGCCUGAGAGGGUGUACGGCGACAUUGGGACUGUGGUACGGCCCAGACUCCUACGGGAGGCAGCGGUGGGGAAUAUGACACAAUGGGCGGAAGCCUGAUGCAGCGGCGCCGCGUGGGGGAUGAAGGCCUUCGAGUUGUAAACUCCUGUCGACAGGGACGCGGUACCUGUAUAGAAAGCACCGGCUAACUACGUGCCAGCAGCCGCGGUAAUUC